UGCUGUCUGCCUGCAAAACUACAGG
rnacentral:misc_RNA from 1 species